GUAUAAGCUUGUUUAUACGGCGAGACUGCGGAUGGCUCAUUAAAUCAGUUAUAGUUUAUUUGAUGGUCUCUUUUGUCUUUUUUUUACCUACUUGGAUAACCGUGGUAAUUCUAGAGCUAAUACAUGCGCAAGGUCCCGAGCGCGGGGGGCGGGGCUUCACGGCCUCGUCCUCGCAUGCGCAGAGGGAUGUAUUUAUUAGGUUAAAAACCAGCAGCCGGCAACGGCUUCAACACUCCUGGUGAUUCAUAGUAACUCUUUCGGAUCGCAUUCAUGUCCUCCUUGUGGGGACGGCGACGAUUCAUUCAAAUUUCUGCCCUAUCAACUUUCGAUGGUAGGAUAGA
rnacentral:rRNA from 1 species